rnacentral:tRNA from 1 species
GCGGGCGUAGCUCAGCUGGUUAGAGCGCCAGGUUGUGGUCCUGGAUGCCGUGGGUUCGAAUCCCAUCGCUCGCCCCA